rnacentral:rRNA from 1 species
AGUGGGGAAUUUUGGACAAUGGGGGAAACCCUGAUCCAGCCAUGCCGCGUGCAGGAUGAAGGCCUUCGGGUUGUAAACUGCUUUUGUACGGAACGAAAAGGUUCUCUCUAAUAAAGGGGGCUCAUGACGGUACCGUAAGAAUAAGCACCGGCUAACUACGUGCCAGCAGCCGCGGUAAUACGUAGGGUGCAAGCGUUAAUCGGAAUUACUGGGCGUAAAGCGUGCGCAGGCGGUUUUGUAAGACAGAGGUGAAAUCCCCGGGCUCAACCUGGGAACUGCCUUUGUGACUGCAAGGCUGGAGUGCGGCAGAGGGGGAUGGAAUUCCGCGUGUAGCAGUGAAAUGCGUAGAUAUGCGGAGGAACACCGAUGGCGAAGGCAAUCCCCUGGGCCUGCACUGACGCUCAUGCACGAAAGCGUGGGGAGCAAA